rnacentral:ncRNA from 1 species
GUACGUUCAUUGGGCCGUGGUGUUCGGGAAGUCCGGUUCUAAACCGGCGCGGCCCUCGCCACUGUGAGCGGGAAGCCCAAUGCCCCGACUGCCGCCGACGCGGCGGUCGGCAAGGCCACUGGGGGCGGCAGCGACGCCGCCCCUGGGAAGGCCGGCGGAGGGCGGCGACCCGUCAGCCAGGAGACCGGCCACGGCGUGACGACCGUC